rnacentral:rRNA from 1 species
GACGAACGCUGGCGGCGUGCUUAACACAUGCAAGUCGAACGGAAAGGCCCUGCUUGAGUGGGGUUCUCGUGGCGAACGGGUGAGUAACACGUGGGGGACUUGCCCCACAGCUAGGGAGAACACUUGGAAACUGAGGCUAAUACCGAAUAUUAGCGUUAUUGAGGGUCGUAGGGGGAUGGAAUGUUUUGUCGGUGGGGGAUGGGCUCGCGGCCUAUCAGCUAGUUGGUGGGGUAAUGGCUUACCAAGGCAGAGAUGGGUAGCCGGCCUGGGAGGGUGACCGGCCACAUUGGGGCUGGGGUACGGGCCAGACUCCUACGGGAGGCAGCAGUGGGGAAUAUUGCACAAUGGGCGCAAGCCUGAUGCAGCGACGCCGCGUGUGGGAUGACGGCCUUCGGGUUGUAAACCGCUUUCGCUGGUGACGAAGCUUUAGUGACGGUACCUAGAGAAGAAGCACCGGCUAACUACGUG